AGGUCUAAGAGACACUUAUACCUAUAUCCCAUCAGAGAUAUUCUCGACAGUAGAAUACUCUGGAGUUGGUCACGUUCAAUGAUGAUGUACCCUUACAUCUCACCUGUAUGCCAUACCAGUGUCUCCACACUCCUUGGUUAAGAGGACAACCAACCCAUAUGGCCUACAGCGACCUAUGCUCGAUAGAAAGCUGUCGUCCUUAUUAACAGCCUAUCAUUUGGUCGUGAACAGUUUUAAGGACUAAUCGAUAAAUCCUCUCUUUAUCAAACUUAAAUAGUCCUAAAGACUUCA
rnacentral:lncRNA from 1 species